rnacentral:lncRNA from 1 species
UAGAGUCUUCUAUUUUUUUUUCCCACAGCCUGCAAACACCCACAAUCUCCCCCAAUUUGCAAGUUCUCUAAUCAACAGCUAUCCACCUCUAAUAUCGUCGAAGAUGGCGCUCCCACCGCCGUCGCCAACGUUGCCGCGACCUCCGCCCUCACUCACCAAAUCCGGUAGUUUCUGUGUUGCUUAAUCUUAAAUUGUGUUGUAGGGUUUAUUUAAUUUUUUUAGCCUAUUCAACUCCCACAAUUAAAUAUUCUAGGGUUUUUUUUUUUUUUUCUCAGAAAUAUGAUGAAUUCCUCUUAUAUUUGCACAACCACAUCUCCCGCCACCUGCCGCCCACCUCGGCCAUCAACCACGUUUUGAUUUUUUUUUUUUUUUCCUUACCUGAAUUACGGUUACAAUUUUUUCCCCCUUUUUCCUUCAAUGUGAGGCCUAUUCAACUUUCCACCUAAAACAUUAUAAUUAAAUGCCAUUAUUUUCUCACUGUUAUCAACUAUAUGUAUAAUAGGUGGAGACAGAUUUUUUUUCCACCAUUAUACACCAUUUUCAUCAAGAGGCAAGUUUAUUUUAUAAUUCAAAAAUAGUUAUGCGUAAAAAUUUUAGUGAUAAGUAAUGUAUAUAUGAAUUUUCUUUUUCAGGAUACACACCAGUAGCUUGGAAGUUCAUCAUAGUAUUGAAAUUUUCGGAGAGUAUAACUAUUUGUCCCUAUCCCAAGAAAUACUCAAUAAUUAAUUUUGGAAGGUAUGUUUAAUAUAUAUAUAUUUAAAUUUUUUGUUGAUUUGCUGAAAAUAAUUUAUACAACUACGUACAUCAUCUUAUUCAUACUAUCAAGCAAUAUUCAGUUUAAAUGCUCUAAAAACUUACUUUCCAAAUUUAGUCACAUUAAAUCUUGCCAAAAAUAACUUUACAAGAUUAGUCAUAAUGGAUUUGCGAUAUGGUUAAUU